GGAAAGGGGUUGGGAACUUCAGUCUGGGCUGUGAGGGAGAAAAGGGAUGGGAAUUUGGGCUCUUGAGAGAAAGGAUUGGGAACUUCAGUCUGGGCUCUGAGGGAGAAAGGAUUGGGAACUUCAGUCUGGGCUGUGAGGGAGAAAAGGGAUUGGGAAUUUGGGCUCUUGAGAGAAAGGAUUGGGAACUUCAGUCUGGGCUCUGAGGGAGAAAGGAUUGGGAACUUCAGUCUGGGCUUUAAAGGAGAAAGGGAUUAGGAAUUUGGACUCUAAGGGGCAAAGGGGUUGGGAAUUUCAGUCUGGGCUUUAAGGGAGAAAGGGAUGGGAAUUUGGGCUCUAAGAAAGGAUUGGGAACUUCAGUCUGGGCUCUAAGGGAGAAAGAGUUUGGGAAUUUGGGCUCUAAGGGAGAAAGGAUUCAGAACUUUGGUCUGGGCUCUGAGGGAGAAAGGAGUUGGGAAUUUCAGUCUGGGCUUUAAGGGAGAAAGGGAUGGGAAUUUGGGCUCCAAGGGAGAAAGUGGUUGGGAAUUUGGGCUCUAAGGGAGAAAGAGGUUGGGAAUUUCAGUCUGGGCUCUAAGGGAGAAAGGGGUUGGGAAUUUCUGUCUGGGCUUUAAGGGAGAAAGGGUUGGGAAUUUGGGCUCCAAGGGAGAAAGGGGUUGGGAAUUUCAGUCUGGGCUUUAAGGGAGAAAGAGUUUGGGAAUUUGGGCUCUAAGGGAGAAAGGAUUCAGAACUUUGGUCUGGGCUCUGAGGGAGAAAAGGGUUGGGAAUUUCAGUCUGGGCUUUAAGGGAGAAAGAGUUUGGGAAUUUGGGCUCUAAGGGAGAAAGGGGUUGGGAAUUUCAGUCUGGGCUCUAGAUGAAAGAGUUUGGGAAUUGGAGCUCUUAAGAGAAAGGGUUUGAGAAUUUCAGUCUGGGCUCUGAGAGGGUUUGGGAAUUUCAGUCUGGGCUCUGAGAGACGAGAGGAGGAAAAAACUCAUCAGUGACUUCCACCUGUGGUGUUGGGAAAGAGGCACUCGAGAGAGAAGAGCAAUCCCUUAGGAACUGAAGCAAUACAGAGGAGCGAGGGGCGAGUGGCUGGGGUGGGGGAGGUGUUGGGGGGGAGGUCUAUCAAGUGUCUCUUCCCUCUCUCUGCCACUGCUUUGUUUUCCUUCUUUAUUUAUAGGAUUUUUUUUUUUGGGGGGGGGGGGUUGGGGUUAUUUUUAACGUGAAAGAAUUGCACUGAACUCUGUCAAACAAAAAAAAGAUGCUGCUUUUUGUAGCUCCUAUCACGAAACAAAAACCACCACAGGAAGAAGAAGAAGAAGAAAGGAAGAAAGGAAGAAAAAGAAAGAAAGGAAGGAAGAAAAGUUGACCUUUGUUAGUAUACUGCAAUAAGACUUUGUUUUUUACAGCCAGGUCCUUCUCAGUGGUACUCCUUCUGGUGGCUUUUUUUUUCCUGGUGUAAAUAUGUUUUGCUGUAGGUGAUAAUAAAGACAAGGGAAAAAAAACCCUUCCCCCCUCACCCCCCCCUUGUAAAAGUUCCACUUUCUAAUCCCCAGCUAGCUCCAAACCCUCUCCCUCCUCUUAUCUUUGAAGCCAGCUCCUGCCUUUUGGAAGUGGUUUUUUUUGUUCCUGUACAGUGUAUUAAAAACCAACACCCACCCCCACCCCCCCCAAACCCUCCUUUUCAUUUGAGCGUUUUGAAGGAGAGGAGGAGGAGAGAGGAAGGGGAAAGUGAAGCUUGUGGGAACAGGGUGAGGGACUCCCCUCUGCAGCGCUGCUUAGAGGAGCUGACACUGGAGGGAGAGGACAUUUGGGGGUUAAAUCCUCUCUGGUUUGUUGUGGGGUUUUUUUUUUGGGGGGGGGGAUGGGGAGGUUUGGAUGAAUUAGUUUUUAUUUCUCCUCCUUUUGGUGUUUCUUUCCCCUGGGGCUUCUCAGCAGGUGGCUGUGCACAGCUCCAGCUGUGGGAGAGGAUGCGUGGAAGCAGAUCCAUGAGAACAGAGGAACGUCUCUGCCCCUGGGGUGUGUGUGAGACCUUCCUCUGUUCUCUCAGCCUUGUCCAUCCCAGGAAGCUCCCCCAGGACCCUCUUGCUGUGGCAUCAC